rnacentral:rRNA from 1 species
AGUGAACGCUGGCGGCAGGCCUAACACAUGCAAGUCGAACGGCAGCACAGCAGUAGCAAUACUGUGGGUGGCGAGUGGCGGACGGGUGAGGAAUACAUCGGGAUCUACCUUUUCGUGGGGGAUAACGUAGGGAAACUUACGCUAAUACCGCAUACGCCCUACGGGGAAAGCGGCGGACCGCAAGGCGUCGCGCGAUGAGAUGAACCGAUGUCCGAUUAGCUAGUUGCGGGGUAAAGGCCCACCAAGGCGACGAUCGGUAGCUGAUCUGAGAGGAUGAUCAGCCACACUGGAACUGAGACACGGUCCAGACUCCUACGGGAGGCAGCAGUGGGGAAUAUUGGACAAUGGGCGCAAGCCUGAUCCAGCCAUGCCGCGUGGGUGAAGAAGG